GACGAACGCUGGCGGCAUGCCUAAUACAUGCAAGUCGAGCGAACAGAUGAAGUGCUUGCACUUCUGACGUUAGCGGCGAACGGGUGAGUAACACGUAAGGAAUCUACCUAUAAGCGGGGGAUAACAUUCGAAAACGGGUGCUAAUACCGCAUAAUAUCUUCUUCCGCAUGGAAGAAGAUUGAAAGACGGCUCUGCUGUCACUUAUAGAUGACCUUGCGGUGCAUUAGUUAGUUGGUGGGGUAACGGCCUACCAAGACGAUGAUGCAUAGCCGACCGUAGAGGGUGAUCGGCCCCAUUGGGACUGAGACACGGCCCAAGCUCCUACGGGAGGCAGCAGUAGGGAAUCUUCCGCAAUGGGCGAAAGCCUGACGGAGCAAUGCCGCGUGAGUGAAGAAGGCCUUCGGGUCGUAAAACUCUGUUAUAAGAGAAGAACAAAUUGUAGAGUAACUGCUACAGUCUUGACGGUAUCUUAUCAGAAAGCCACGGCUAACUACGUGCCAGCAGCCGCCGCCG
rnacentral:rRNA from 1 species